rnacentral:RNase_P_RNA from 1 species
CGAGCAAGCCAGACAACCGCGGGUGCCAGUCCGAAAGGCGGCACGUGAGGAAAGUCCGGGCUCCACAGGGCAAGGGUGCCGGGUAACUCCCGGUGAAGGCGACUUCAAGGAAAGUGCAACAGAAAGAAACCGCCGGCCGCAAGGCCGGUAAGGAUGGAAAGGCGAGGUAAGAGCUCACCAGCGGGUUGGCGACAAUCCGGCUAUGUAAACCCCACCCGGAGCAACAUCGCGGAGGGACACGUUUGCGGCCCGCAAGUCCCGGGGAGAUGGCUCAAGCCUGUCUGGGAAGGCAGGCGUAGAUAGAUGGUUGUCAAACACAGAACCCGGCUUACAGACUUGCUCGGAAA